UUUAGGACUGCAUUGAUGG
rnacentral:misc_RNA from 1 species